CCUACGGGAGGCAGCAGUGAGGAAUAUUGGUCAAUGGGCGAGAGCCUGAACCAGCCAAGUCGCGUGAAGGAUGACGGCCCUACGGGUUGUAAACUUCUUUUGUCAGGGAGCAAUUGGGUCCACGCGUGGGCUUAGCGAGAGUACCUGAAGAAAAAGCAUCGGCUAACUCCGUGCCAGCAGCCGCGGUAAUACGGAGGAUGCGAGCGUUAUCCGUAUUUAUUGGGUUUAAAGGGUGCGUAGGCGGACGAUCAAGUCAGCGGUAAAAAUGCGGGGCUCAACCCCGUCGUGCCGUUGAAACUGAUCUGCUUGAGUGGGCGUGAAGUAUGCGGAAUGUGUGGUGUAGCGGUGAAAUGCUUAGAGAUCAUACAGAACUCCGAUUGCGAAGGCAGCAUACCGGCGUCCAACUGACGUUGAAGCACGAAAGCGUGGGUAUCGAACAGGAUUAGAUACCCGUGUAGUC
rnacentral:rRNA from 1 species